rnacentral:misc_RNA from 1 species
UGUAUUACAUUGAUGGGUAGAAGUCACUGUUUGAAAUAACAAGUUGUAGGUUAUAUUACUAAAGCUUUACUGUGUAAAUGUUCAUGUUCAUACAAUGUUGUCCUUGUUUAUUCCGUAUCUAAGAGAAAUCCCUGAAAAAUCUGGCAUAAUCAAACUUGCAUGUUUUGAAACUGACAGGCUUAGUUAGCAUAGUCAUGGCCCUUUGAUAAGAAAUUAACUCUCAUAAGGAGAAGUUCCUUGAACUAAACGGCAAUUGAUCAAAUUUGACCUGUAUUUUAUGCUGAAAGUGUCACCUAAUUAUGAUUAAGAUUUCAGUACAAAAAUUAUUGCCAUUCAGUCCAAUUUUUUAAAUGUGAUUUGUGUAAGGGGUCAGCAAUGUCUGUACAAUCAACAGUGCUAACAAAAACUAAUUUUACCUUUUUGCAAUGUUUUGAUUUGUUUAAAAGCCGAACCUGUAUUUAUCAUAUCCGAUAUAGAUAAUUCUGCAUGUAAUAUAUACAGUAAGUAAUGAUUUAGAUACAUACGAUGUUUUUAGCUAGGAUACUUUUCUUUUUUUUUGUAUUUGUAUCGGAGUUUGAUUAGAAAGUUAAUAUAUUAAAAGUACAUUUAUAUACCAGAUAGAUUGUAAUGUUGGAUAUCUUCCAAAUUUUCAAGGGUUCAGUCAAAUAAUAUGCCUAGCAAUCAUACUGUUGCAUUCAUUGUAGUAAACCAAAAUGUACAGACCAUUGUUUUUAAAAAUACAUGUAUUCUUUUUCAUUUAUUUGAUUUUUUUCCUCACUGCUGCUGAGUAAAGUGAUGGAGUUAAAAAAUUAUUCUCUCUGCUUAACAUAUUGAAUGAGAUAAUUUAAAUCAAUGUCAGUUUGUCUACUGGAAACACAGAAAUCUCUAAAAAAAUUCUUUGUUAUAUUUCCUCAUACAUAAUCUAAUUAAUGUGAUGGCAUUGUUGGAUACCUGAUAUUUUGAUUUUUUUGAUGAUUUUUCACAGACUGUUUAAUAAGCUUUAAAGGAUUAUCCAUAAACAGGUUAAAAAAGAUACUGGCUUUAAUUUUAAAAACGUCUUUUAUUUGCUUAAAUUGUAUCUCUAAAUAGAAUUUAACCAAUAAUAUUGAACCUGAUUUAAAAUUGGGAAAUUCCUUUAUUUGUCAGAAAGUGCAAUCUGCAAUCCAAUUUUUUCCACAUGAAACCCAACUUGUCAAAAUGUCAUAUUCUGUUAUUGCAUAAUAUAUAUAUUAUCACUGUAUAAUAUUUUGUGUUAGUUUAUUAAGACUGCAGUAAAACUUAUUGUCAUUG